rnacentral:tRNA from 1 species
AAAAAGAUAAGCUAAUUAAGCUUUUAGGUUCAUACCCUAAUUAUAGAAGUAUUAAUCUUCUUCUUUUUA